CCCCCAGAUAGAAUUUCCUUGUGCUUGUCUGAUUCAUGGGAGGCCAACAUGGAUGAUGGAAGUUUCGCUGAUAGUACCUUUUUGGUUUUCUGGAAGGUGUUUUAACAGUAGCUCUCCGUACAAAG
rfam:Ricinus communis cultivar Hale ctg_1100012358156, whole genome shotgun sequence.